rnacentral:rRNA from 1 species
GCUACCAUGCAGUCGGACGGUAGCACAGAGGAGCUUGCUCCUCGGGUGACGAGUGGCGGACGGGUGAGUAAUGUCUGGGGAUCUGCCCGAUAGAGGGGGAUAACCACUGGAAACGGUGGCUAAUACCGCAUAAUGUCGCAAGACCAAAGAGGGGGACCUUCGGGCCUCUCACUAUCGGAUGAACCCAGAUGGGAUUAGCUAGUAGGCGGGGUAAUGGCCCACCUAGGCGACGAUCCCUAGCUGGUCUGAGAGGAUGACCAGCCACACUGGAACUGAGACACGGUCCAGACUCCUACGGGAGGCAGCAGUGGGGAAUAUUGCACAAUGGGCGCAAGCCUGAUGCAGCCAUGCCGCGUGUAUGAAGAAGGCCUUCGGGUUGUAAAGUACUUUCAGCGGGGAGGAAGGCGGC